rnacentral:lncRNA from 1 species
GGCCGCACCCACAGCACAUGGAAGUUCCCAGGCUAGGGGUCAAAAUGGAGCUACAGCUGCCAGCCUUUGCCACAGCCACAGCAACACAGGAUCUGAGCCGUGUCCGCGAACUACACCACAACUCACAGCAAUGCUGGAGCCCAACCUGCUAAGCGAGGCCAGGGAUCAAACCUGCAACCUCAUGGUUCCUAAUCGGAUUUGUUUCUGCUGCUCCACAAUGGGAACUCCCAGAAAUAACUAGUAUUUUAAAUUGUCCACCAUUCUGUGUAACAUGAUGAAAUCUCAAGCCAUCCUGGAGUGGGACAUGCAUCAUCCAUUCCUUCGUCCAGCAUACCCCAUCUGUUAGUAACUUAGUAGCUAUCUCAGUUAUUAGAUCAACUGCUGCAGUAUUGCAGUGCUGGUGUUCAAGUAACCUUUACUUAAUUAUGGCCCCAGAGUGCAAGAGUAGUGAUGCCAGAAAUUUGGAUAUGUCAAAGAGAAGAUGUGAAGUGCUUCUUUUAAGGGAAUAAGUAAAAGUUCUUAACUUAAUAUCGUCUGUGAACCAAUUUUCUUUUCUUUUUGCCUUUUCUAGGGCCGCAACCGUGGCACAUGGAGGUUCCCAGGCUAGGGGUCUAAUCGGAGCUGUAGCUGCCGGCCCACGCCAGAGCCACAGCAACAUGGGAUCUGAGCCAUAUGUGCAACCUACACCACAGCUCAUGGCAAUGGCGGAUCCUCAACCCACUGGGCAAGGCCAGGGAUCGAACCCGCAACCUCAUGGUUCCUAGUCAGACUCGUUAACCUCUGCGCCACGAUGGGAACUCCAAGAUGUACCAAUUUUCUAUCCAUGAAACCGUGAAGAAGGAAAAAGACAUUUGGGCUAGUUUUGCUGUUGUACUCCAAACUACCAGUUAUGUCCACAGCGCAUGAUGUAAGUGCUUAGUCAGGAUGAAAAGGUGUUAAAUUGGUACAAUAUUAUGAGGAGACCACAUUCACAUAACUUUUAUUAUUGUGUUGAUAUAACUGUUUUAUUAUUGUUGUUAAUAUUUUACUGUGCCUAAUUUAUAAAUUAAACUCUAUUAUAGCUAUGUAGGUACAGGAAAAAAUAGUGUAUAUAUAUAUACACACACACACUAUAUAUACCUACAUAGGAAAUAGUGUAUACACACACACACACACACACACACACACACACUAUUUUUUCCUAUACCUACACACACACAUAGGCCUCUGAAUUGUAUUCCCAAUUUCAGGCAUUCAUUAGUGGUAUUGUACUGUAUCCCCCACAGAUUAGGGGGGACUACUGAACUGAGACAAAGUAAGGUAUAUUCCAGGUAUACAAGUACAAUUCACUAUUUUAAAUCUAUAUAAUAUAAUUAAUACAAAGACCAUAAGAGAAAACUUACAAGACUAUUACAAUUUGACGGAAUUUAACUUCUGCUCCUGAUCGGAAUUCUUAAAAAAAGAAGAAUAAAAAAAUGCAUCAACAUGAUGUGGAGCCCCACCUGUUGUAAAAUUUUAUCAUAAUGUUCUGAAAUGGGCACAAAUCUAACAGCAGUACUAUUACAAUGAUACACUAUAAAAUUAAGACUGGAGUUCCCUUGUGUGUCUUUGGGUUUAGGAUCCAGUGAAGUUACUGCAGUGGCUUGGGCUGCUGCUGUGGCAUGGGCUCCAUCCCUGGUUUGGGAACUUCUACAUGCUACAAGCAAGAAAAAAAGGAAAAAAAUAAAAAUAAAACCAAGAUAAAUUUACAUAUUAAGUAGAAAUAGAACGACACCAAAAAUAUAAAUUAAUAAUUUAAUGUCAUACUGUUUUGCUGAAAUUAUAUCCUGUUUACAACAUGAAUAUGCCUCAGGUUCUUUUGUGUUUAACACUCUUACAUUGCCCUAGGCUGUGUGAUGAAUCAAAUUUCACACUACUUUUCUCUAUCAGAACUACUACCAGAUCUCCAUUUGUAUAAUCUUGACAUCAUUAGGUGAUCAACAAGAUAUUGGAGGUAAAGAAAAAGGAGAAUCUAGGAAUAAUUUAAGGUCUUUGUUUUUUGGGUGACUGGCUGAAUAGUAAUCUUUGACAAAAACAGGAAUACCUGGGUGGGAAGGGGUGGACAGAUUAGUUUUGAUGAUGAGUUUGUGUUUUCUGAUGGACAGCUAGAUGGAGCUAUCUAGUAAAUAAAUGGAUGUAUGGAUUUGAAGCGCACAACAGUGAGUAUGGGCCUGAAAAAGAGGUUUAGAAAACAGUCCUCUAAAGAAUAGUGGCUCCGGGGGGGGUCCUUCUNNNNNNNNNNNNNNNNNNNNNNNNNNNNNNNNNNNNNNUGGAGUUCCUGUCAUGGCUCAGUGGUUAACGAACCUGACUAGCAUCCCUGAGGAUGUGGGUUUGAUCCCUGGCCUUGCUCAAUGGGUUAAGGAUCCGUGCCACCGCAGAUCCUGUUGUGCUACAGAAAGAAUUCCUCUUGCGGCAUUCUUGAUAGCCUGUGAUUAAGACACUUAAUAAGUGUAUGUCUUUAGGAGAAAUUCUUAAGCUAAAUCUUGGUUCUCUUAUGGGGAUAUCUACCUCAUAGUAGUGUUAUGACAUAUACUCAUCCUAACUUGUAAUCAGGACACAUAUAUGACAUAUUGUUGAUAUAUGUCAUGUAUGAUAAAUAUAUGCUGCCCAACUUGUAACCAAAGAAAUUAAUUCAAUUAAACAUUUGUGUUUAUUAAACUGACAAAGAUUUUUUUCAAGUCUGAAUCAUCUACUUUUAAUGAAUACGUGAGAAAACAAGUAUCUCUUAUUCUUAUAGUGGAUAAGACAGUAAAAACUUUUCUGGAGAGUAAUGUAACAAUAUAAAUACAAAGCCUUAACAGAGGCACAUGCCCCUUAACUCAGAAAUAUAAUUUCCAGAAACUUGUCCUAAGCAAACAACUAAUGACUUAGCCAAAGAAUGUUUCUCAGAGUAUUCUUUUAUAAAGCCGGAAAUAAACUGUCCUGUUGAUAGGAAUUAGUUAUAAUUUAUAAAAAUAGCUCCAUGUCAUAAAUUAUGAGAUGGCUGUUAUAAAUAAUGUUAUAGAGACAUAUUCAUUGCCUUGAAAGUGUUCUAAAGUUACAGUGUCUAGUAGAAAAAAAGGUUGCAAAACUGUAUAUAUUACAAAAAUUAUGUACCUACACAUAUAGGUGCAUAUUUACGAUGCUUGUAAGCAUUCUAGGGAUAUUACCCUUUCUACAAUGAACACUACUACUUGUGUAAUAAUUUUUUUACACCGGUGAAAUUAAUAUUCAACAUGAAGGUCAGUCCACUGUCUUUUACAUAAUUAAAGAUAGUUUAAAUAGCUUAUAGUAUGAGCAAACUGUUUUUGGUGGAAGGAACACUAUUAACCUUUUUUCUGUAGUCAACACUUCUGCGGUGAAGAGGAAUUUUCUAAAAAAAACUUUAUUAGUUACUUUUUAAAAUAAAAUACAUUAAUAAAGGUGAAGUAUUAAAAAAUAAAAUUAGGACAUUGCUGCUGUGGGUCAGCAGAAACGAAUCCGGCUAGUAUUCAUGAGUAUGUGGGUUUGAUCCCUGGCCUCACUCAGCGGGUUAAAGAUCCGACACUGCCCUGAGCUGUGGUAUAGGUUGUAGACUCCGCUCAAAUCUGCUGUUGCUGUGGCUGUGGUGUAGGCUGGCAGUUACAGCUCAGAUCCGACCCCUACCCUGGGAACUUCCAUAUGCCCUGGGUGCGGCCCUAAAAAGCAAAAAAUAAAAUAAAAAUAAUAAAAUAAAAUAAAGUUAAAAAGCAUAUAAAUACAAACUUCAUUUUUAAAUUAGAUUCACAAAAAGUUACACUAUCAAAUUGGUAAAAGUUUCUAAGCUCUUACUCUCAAUUUCUUUUCUUUUUCUUUGUUUUUGUCUUUUUAGGGCUGGCAUAUGGAGAUUCCCAGAUUAGGGGUCAAAUUGGAGCUGCAGCUGUUGGACUACACCACAGCCACAUCAACGCCAGAUCCGAACCACAUGUGCGACAUACACCACAGCUCAUGGCAACACUGGAUCCUUAACCCACUGAGCGAGGCCAGGGAUUGAACCUGUUUCCUCAUGGAUACUAGUCAGAUUCAUUUCCACUGAGCCACGAGGGCAACUCCUUACUCUCAAUUUCUGCACUAUCUUGUCACUGACAGGUAACAGUCCACACCUCAUGCUUUCAGUAGUACUGCUGGAAAUGAUUAAUAGGUCUUUUUGCAGUGGACAACUGUAUUUUUAUCAAACAUCUGAAAACUCUUCUGCAAUAGAAGAUAACUCUCUCUAAUAAAUAGAAAUAUUUGGGCUCUUCCUCUCUUACGUUUACUAUACCUAUCAGUCUAUAAUGUCUAAUAGACAUUUUCAAUAAAGUCAUAUAUCAUUUAAACUAUCAGUCAUUUUCUUAAAGAAUCAAACACAAUCUCAUACAGUGGAAACCUGACUUCAGAGAAUUAAUACCUUUUGAAUCAUAAGGCAACAAGUAGUUAUUAGGUCACUCCAAAGGGAACAUGCCACCAUUAAUACAAAUUCAUGAGCUGAAAUGGAAGCAAUGGAGAAAACACAUGCUGAUAUUAAGAGUUUAGGUUGCCUAUUUACUCCUAAGGUUAAGCAGAAGAAAAUGAGACAAUUUGUUGAUUCCCUGGCAAUGAGAAUACUGUCUCUGGGGAUAAAGGUGAGUGAGCCUGUGCCACUCAGCUUGGGAAUGAACCAAUGAUGGACUUCUGCGAACUCAUGCCAAAGUGAUGAAGAUUAUAAAUAUCUAACUUUAAUGUUGAGAUUAAAAAGAAUUUAAGUCUCAAGUAAUUCUCUGAAAAUAAGCAGGCUGGUCUCCAGAAAUAAAGGCUCAUAGUCUAGCAGUUUAUUGUCAAAUGCAAAAAAAAAAAAAAAAAAAAAAAAAAAA